GGAUUGUGGCUCAGUGGUAGAACACUUGCCUAGCAUGUGUGAAGCACUGGGUUCAAUCCCCAGUACCA
rnacentral:tRNA from 1 species